AAACAACCAUCAGUCUUUUUUUUACCAUAAAUCAUAUUCAGUGGGGCAUGUUGUUGCACCAUAUGCAAGUUGUCACAAUGGAACUAUNAGUUGCCACAUGUGCUGAAAAGAGGCUGGCAAGUUCCAUUAUGACAACUUGCAUAUAGUGGGACAACUUGGCCCAUUGAAUAUGAUUAAUGGUAAAAAAAAAACAAACAAACAAAAAAACAACUAAUGGUCUUAAUUUCCCUGACUUCUGUAUAUUCCAGUGGCAUGUCAUUCGUUGGGGUUCAGUUUAGAGACACUGCAUCCAAGAGUUUUCACUGCGCCCGAGGUAGGCUCUCAUUUUGGCCAUCAGGUUUGUCAUUUUGGACCAACGCAAGGAGACAGUGUGUUAGUGACGGCACCUAACCUUCAUAAUGGAACUGGUGGUCUUUAUAGGUGUACUUACAGUGGUAAUCAGUGUAUGCUGCUCCCAGUGACAGGUGAGACUGCUCAACACCAUUACAGUACAUAAAACACUAAGAAAAUUAUAAUCUUAAUUCCAAUUUUGGAAAUAUAUUAUGCUUAUACUGUAGUAUGCUUCAAAGCUGUCUUCCAACAAUGUUGCUAGAGGCACACCAACAUUUUGUAUGUCUCCCUUAUCUGACCUAUCUAUUUCAUGGAGAGAUGUUCUUCUUAUUAUAGAGAGAUACCAAUAGCAGCUCUGAAUGUAUGAUAUGAUAACCAAUCACAUUAUAGCCUUGAUGACAUUUUGCUUUCAGAGUUUUAUGACAGUCAAUCACUGUUUGUGGAUAUCAUAAAAGUGUACAGGUCUUUUUUUUUUCUUUUUUUUGCAGGGGCCAACUACAACUGGCCCCAUCUUGACAUUUAUGAACAAUACCCUUGUCCUGACAAUACUCUUCAGUGUAGAUUUGUUAUGUUCAUUUUAGAACAGCUGAACUUUACAGAAAAGAAGAUUUAAUGAAUAGGACAUUUGACUGAAAAACUUUUAGCCCUUGUGACAACUAGCCCCAUUCUACCCUAUGUCAAAUUACAUAUUAUGUAAUUGUUUGUUUUGGUCAUGGGUUAGAGUGUAUUGCAAUUGGUUAAAUUAAUAUUAUUUUAAAAAUAUGUGUUUUAAAGAAGCAUAUAAAUAUGCACAAACUAAGCUUACUCACACUUCUCUGAUAAAAUGUUGUAAUUUAACAAACUUGCUUUACAUUUACCAACACCAUCAGAUAACUGCUGUGUUUUGGUUUGACCUUAGCUUGGUUCUUUCACAUCCACUUUUGUGAGAUGGAAAAUAUGAAAGUAAUCACAUUUAUUUUAAUGGGUUUUGUUUUAGUAAUACAAAAAAAUAAAAAAAAUUAAAACAAAAAAGAAAAAGAAAAAGAAAAAGAAAAUAAAACUGUUUGAAAGUAUAUUAUUUAUUUAUUUACUUACAGCAUUGACAUCCAGAACUAUGAGAAAUGGAUUGUUUCCUCACUCAAAAAGAGGAAGUAAAUCACCAACUCUUGUGUCAAAGUUUCAACACUGCAGUAUACAGAAAAAAAAAAGUCCUUACACAUGCCUCUUAACAUGGCACUACUUCUUGUAAAGCUAGAACAUAUUGCAAUGUAUUGUGAAAGAUGCUAUACAAAUGCAUUUAAACUGAGGUGUAUUUUACAGUUUUUGAUAUUUGAAUUAACUGCUAAAUUUGAUUUCACUUUCAGUUGAUCCAGGCAUUGCGUUUGGUUUGGCUCUUGCCUGUGAUGAUGGUCAAGCUUUGGUAAGUAGUGCUGAUUAUGAUUGCAGUGGUAAUAAUAAGUUGAGACAAGAGGUGGAUAAAAAUAUGUUUGUCGUGUUGCAUGCUUAAAUGCAUAAAUGUAUCCAAAGGCUGACUUAUGAGGCAUUCAAUGUAGUAAAUUUCUUAAAUUAAAAGAAAACAUGAAUUGCAACAUAAAACAAACUAAUUAUAUGCCACUUACAUGUUUGCUCUAAUAGCUUCAUGUGAACCAGCACCACCCUCCUGUCAGGGGUGGCAUUAAAAUACACUCUUUCCCUCACACCUGGGCACAAACUCAGUAAACCAACAGUUUUAACAAAAUGAUUUUUAAAUUGGCAAAUUUAUAAGAAUUUAUUAAGAAAGUAAAUAUAGCUCCUACAAUGAUAAAACUUCUAAACUACAGUUUCCAAAAAAAAAAAAAAAAAAAAAAAAAAAAAAAAAAACAAUAAGCAGUAAGUACAGAAUAUACAAGGUCUACAAUAUGUACAAUAACUAUGCAGAUAAGUAUUAUGGACAUAAUUUACAGAUUUUAAAUACUAUCAGCAUGAUAUACAGAUAGGUGUACUAUGAACAUACUAUAAAGAUGGAUUAUGUGAAAGUGUAUGUACACUAUAGGCAGAACUAUGAACAUGAACAUAAUUUACACUAUUGCUAUGGACAGUAAAGUGCAUAGAAAA
rnacentral:lncRNA from 12 species